UUUUUUUUUUCACUGAAAAUUUGUCAAUAAUGUCUUUGAUAUUUACACUUCUUGCUCGGUGAAUAUGUAAAAUGGACAAGUUCGAAAGCCUUUCAUCCCCCAUAGUCGCCCUUAAGUAGCCUUUAAUACGGCGCAUAGCGCUGAAUGAGCGCUCACUGGAAGCUGAAGACACAGGCAUUGUAAGAAGAACUGUAAGGAUUGAAUAAAUGUUAGGAUAUAAAUCCUUAUUCGUAGCAUUUAGUGUCUCUAAUAGUUUCUGUGGACGCUGGCCGUCUACCAUGUCCCAUCUUAUUUUCCAUCUAGCAACCUCAUCAUUAAAUGCAUGUAUG
rnacentral:lncRNA from 1 species